CAGCGCGAGGCAGGGGGCGGUUUGGGCGGGAAACUCUUCUGAGGAAAAGCUGCCGCGGCUGCCGUCCUAAUUUGGAAGAAGCAGAAACACCCCGCGAGUGAGCGCGAGGUGGGCUUCCAAGUAAGCAUGCGCGGAGCUGGGGGGGGGGAUUUGAGGCUGCCGUUCUACGCAUAGGAGAAAGCUCAGCUGAACUCCCUGGGGGGGGGGGGGGGAGCGCACAAACUGUGGCUGUGUAUAUGGCGCGGGGUGGGGGAACAGCGGAGCAGCUGUGCUUAAUUGUUAUUAAUAACGCGGGGCUGCAGUCUUAAAAGCUGCCUUUGCUGCGGUUGGGUGUAAGCUCCCCCUGAACUCCGUGGAGCCCUGGCUUCUGGGAAGGCAGAAAUAGGAUUGCAAUAACAACAGGGCCAAGGCGGGAAGGCAAGAUUCAAAGGGAUGCUCUUGGGCAUAUUAAAUACUGCACUGCGAAGUGCGCAUGCAGGAAGGAUGGUGAGACCUCAAGUGAAGUUCUUGUCUCAGCUGAUUAAAGGCACUCAUUUGGAAAGAGGUGGCCUUUGGUUGAAAUGAGGAGAGUGCCCAAAAUCUGAACAGUGGACUAAUUCAGCUAAAUUCAUUGUUACUAUUUUAAUUUAUAUCCCAACCUUUCUCCCAAAGGAGCCUAUGAAGCAAGGGAUAUCCAGCACAUACCCCUCUACAUCUUGCUGAACUCUAGCUCCCAUCUUCCCUGGCCAUUAGCUGUGCUGGCUUCUUGUGAGAUUUAGAGUCCAGUAACAUCUGGAAUGGCUACUUCUGUGUGAUGUAUUAAGAUACAAAUAUAAGUUUAUGAUGGGCAGUUGCCAUCAUAAGAUAACUGGUGUUUGUUGGUCCUUUUCAUUCUUAUUCUAACCAUGUUUAUUCAGAGCAGAAAUGAGGAUGUCCAGAUGUCCAGACUACAGCUCCCUUCAUCCCUGACCAAGUCCCAUCAGUUCCAGAUAGCAUAUUCAGUGGAGUCUAACAUCAUCCAGUGGUCACCAGAUUCUUCAUAUCCAAUUCAGACAUUAGUCUGAGGCCAAUGGAACUUAUGUGUUUCCAGCUAAAUGGGCUUAAGAAGCAACCAUGGAAUUAUACUUGAUUGAAAAUUGUGGGUAGUAGCUAUCUGAAUUAACUGGUAGCAAAUUCAAUAACAUGUGUUUAUUAUGUAUUUUCCCAUUGGAUUGCAUUGACCUAUGAAUACAUGAGAAACAGAUUUGUCUUCUCCCCUGCCUAUCCCCCCUUUAGGGCAACAGCACUGCAGAGUCACUGUUCUCAUAUUUUAAGAGACUACAUUUAGUCUCUUCUAAUAUGUAAUCAAUUUGUAAUUGUCUAGGUCAUUUUGAGUUUUAAUCCAAUCCUCUUGCAGCAGCUCUUAACUUUGCUUCUUAUGCAAGCCUGAGGGGGAGGAGCAAAAUUCAGCAGAUCAGGUAGAGAGGCUGCUUGUUACCUUUGCUUCACCUGAUCUAUUAACCACGCUCUUCAUCCUACUGCAUAUCUCUUGCAUAAUGCAUUAGCAAAUCAUAAGUCUUUGCAAGAUCAAGCCCAAAGAGUUUCUGCGUGGCCUGUUGUUCCAGUUUGACUUAAUUGAUGAAAAAACACCUUUCUUUAAAUGGGUGUAACUUUGCAUGUGAAGAGCCCUUCAGCAAAGUAAUCAUAAUAAUAAUAAGGUACAAAAUAAACUUGGACUGAAGAGGGAGUACAAUGAAUACAGUUCUUAAUGCAACCAUAAGCAGCCCACAGAGUUACCAUAGAUUCCACUUAUGUCAUUAAAUGUAACCUUACUAUGCAAUGGGCCUGUGAUGGUAGACUGAAGCUGCACACUGAAUUCUUACCCUGUUAGCCAUGAUACUUAAGAACAGCAUAAGAAAUAAUAUCCCAAUAAGGACCAUGAUACAGGAGUGAAUAUAACCAAAUAAAAAAAUGCCCAUUUUAUUAUUCCUGGCUUCUUAGCAGCUAACUUUUUAUGUUUCAACAGCAAAAGAGGAUAUACAAUAUUUGCAAAAGAUGGGUAAAGUGGUGUUGGUGGUAGUUUAAAUAUUAAAUAUUAAACUACCUUAAAUAACUCCCAUUUUCAGUGCUCUACAAAUAUUGAAAAUAUCAUGUAUCUAAUAAGACAAAUAUUAACACACAGGCUUGAUACUGUUGGGAAUGCUGAUAUCCUCAUAAUAGCAGUAAGAUGAAAGAAAAACUAGCAUUCAACGUCCAUAUAUUUAAUAUACGAUUCUCCCA